GUAUUGAAAAUCCGCUAAAGGUCGACGUGCCGUCGUGUUCAGUAUAUAAUAUUGUACAGGCAAAGAAAGCAAAAAAUAAAAUACAGAAAAAAACAUGGUUCCUUGGUCAAUAUUACUAUUAUGUACGAGACGUAUUGUGUGAUGCGACAAAUUGUGUAAGACCUAUGAGGUGCUGAACAAGAAAAAAAUUUAAGACGAUAUCGUUCCAAGUGUGAAAAUGAAUGUACAGUCCCAUGAGCGAGAGGUGGUUAUAUACACAAUUCACUACGGUCCUAUAAUACGAUCAUUGAGUAGAAAAAAACAGUAUUUUUUCUUCCUAAAAACCAUCGUCCAAAUGAUGAGCAGAAAUCAAUUCGAGAAAAAAAAUAAUCAAAAUAACUAUGGUCGAAAAAAAAAGGUUAUCGACGCGGACAAAGCGAUGGUGGGACGAUCCGUCUGCACGCGGAUGCAUUAUGGCGUGUGAGAAAAACAUGGUUGACAUCGUUUUGAACGUCGCACGCGCAAUUAUAAUUCGGGCAGACGUCGGCGUCAUCGUCACCACAAUACGCCGCCACCAACCACGACUAAAUGUAUCUCAGAUGUCCCGCAACCAAAAUCAUCAUUGGAAUUUCACCAGGUCGAAGGCGCAAGAUUUCUCCUCGGGCAAGCGAAAAACGCGAGACUUCAUUUCAAUUAUUUAGACGAUUGCAGGCCGCAGCCCAAGACGCGCCUUCCUCAGCCGGAAUUUAUGCUCAUUUCCGACUUAAUUGUCAUUCCUCACAAGAUAAUGGAAAAUUAAAUUCGUCCUUUUCGCAGGACAGAAUAUUUGCAUACACGUGGAUAUACAUAAUAUGUCGUACACUAUGCUAUUAAUAUUGUCACGAAAUUAUGAUUAUACUUGCAGAAAAAAAUGAUGUCAUCAAGCGGUGAUUGAACCGUAGACAUUUAAUUGCCUGUUGCUUAAAAUCGAUUAAUUUGACAUAAUAUUGAUUAAAUAACCAUAGUGUUUCUACUACGCACAGCUAAAAAAUGUGAAAAGGAGAAACAGCAUUCUAAUCUAA